GCCUGGGUAGCUCAAUUGGCAGAGCAUCGGUUUUGUAAACCGAAGGUUUGUGGGUUCGACCCCCACCCCAGGCU
rnacentral:tRNA from 2 species